GUGGGGAAUAUUGGACAAUGGGGGGAACCCUGAUCCAGCCAUGCCGCGUGUGUGAAGAAGGCCUUUUGGUUGUAAAGCACUUUAAGCGAGGAGGAGGCUACCGAGAUUAAUACUCUUGGAUAGUGGACGUUACUCGCAGAAUAAGCACCGGCUAACUCUGUGCCAGCAGCCGCGGUAAUACAGAGGGUGCAAGCGUUAAUCGGAUUUACUGGGCGUAAAGCGCGCGUAGGUGGCCAAUUAAGGCAAAUGUGAAAUCCCCGAGCUUAACUUGGGAAUUGCAUUCGAUACUGGUUGGCUAGAGUAUGGGAGAGGAUGGUAGAAUUCCAGGUGUAGCGGUGAAAUGCGUAGAGAUCUGGAGGAAUACCGAUGGCGAAGGCAGCCAUCUGGCCUAAUACUGACACUGAGGUGCGAAAGCAUGGGGAGCAAACAGGAUUAGAAACCCUGGUAGUCC
rnacentral:rRNA from 1 species